GACCAGUGAGAUUGGCUCCUAUCCUGUCACAGGAAAAAGCAGAAGGCGGACAGCUAAGGUGUGAAAAACACAGCACCCUGAGAGCCGCUGAAAGGGUGAAAAGAGAAAAGAAGGGAGGAAGAAAGCCCUGUCUGUGAGAAGAUGAAUGCCUUAACGAAGAAUAUAGCUCACGGCCUGCCAAGGAGCUGUUGGAGUUUUGUAUCUCUGAUGUAGCAUCAACCAAUGAGAACCCUUCUGACUGCAUGAAGACUCUUCAUUUUGUACCCCAGUGUCUGGGUACCAAGCAGGGGUGCCUAGAAG